GUGGUGUAAAAUGGUUAACACACUCAGCUGCUAACUGAAAGGUUGGAGGUUCAAGUCCACCC
rnacentral:tRNA from 1 species